UACGCUUAUGGCAGCCAUCUCUUUCGCACGACAUCAAGAGGAGCAAUUGAACCAUGAAGCUUGGAGGACUAGGGUCGCUCCUCAACCAGUAAUAUUGAAGCCCUCAAGCCCCCCCUACUAUUGACCAAGUCCCUACACCAAAGAGGUUAACAAGAGAAGAGCUUCGGGAGCGAUAUGCGAAGGGGUUAUGUUGGCAUCGUGACGAGCCGUGGAGCCGUGAGCAUCGCUGUAGUAAAGGAGGACUUCUUAUGAUUGAACCGAUAGAAGAAGAGGUCAUUGAACAUUCAGAAAAGAGCCUUGAACAUGAAGAAAAAGAUGCAGAAGAAGAGCCACAACCGACCGAAGUUACGGUACAUACACUAGCUGGCUACUCAAACCCACAAACGAUGAAAGUUGGAGGCCUUCUCAAAC
rnacentral:lncRNA from 1 species